rnacentral:rRNA from 1 species
AGCGAACGCUGGCGGCAGGCCUAACACAUGCAAGUCGAACGGAUCCUUCGGGAUUAGUGGCGGACGGGUGAGGAACACGUGGGAACGUGCCUUUUGGUUCGGAACAACUCAGGGAAACUUGAGCUAAUACCGGAUGUGCCCUUCGGGGGAAAGAUUUAUCGCCAUUAGAGCGGCCCGCGUCUGAUUAGCUAGUUGGUGGGGUAAAGGCUCACCAAGGCUACGAUCAGUAGCUGGUCUGAGAGGAUGAUCAGCCACACUGGACUGAGACACGGCCCAGACUCCUACGGGAGGCAGCAGUGGGGAAUCUUGCGCAAUGGGCGAAAGCCUGACGCAGCCAUGCCGCGUGAAUGAUGAAGGUCUUAAGGAUUGUAAAAUUCUUUCACCGGGGGACGAUAAUGACGGUACCCGGAGAAGAAGCCCCGGCUAACUUCGUGCCAGC